AGAGUUUGAUCCUGGCUCAGAACGAACGCUGGCGGCAGGCCUAACACAUGCAAGUCGAGCGCCCAGCAAUGGGAGCGGCGGACGGGUGAGUAACACGUGGGAAUAUGCCCUUUGGUACGGGACAACUCAGGGAAACUUGAGCUAAUACCGUAUGUGCCGGUAACGGGAAAGAUUUAUCGCCAAAGGAAUAGCCCGCGUCC
rnacentral:rRNA from 1 species